rnacentral:rRNA from 1 species
GAUGAACGCUGGCGGCGUGCUUAACACAUGCAAGUCGAGCGGGCAAUUUAUCUAGCACUGAUUACUUCAAAUGGAAAUCAUAAGUGUAAUCAUGAAUUUCUACCUUAUAAUAAAGAAAAAGAAAUUCAUGUACGCAAAUAGUGAUAACACAUUUUAGUGGAGUGAUGAGUGCUGGAUAAAUUGCUAGCGGCGGACGGGUGCGUAACACGUGGGUAACCUGCCCCUAUCACUGGGAUAACACACUGAAAAGUGUGCUAAUACCAGAUAACAUAAGCUUUUGGCAUCAUUAGCUUAUCAAAGAAUUUCGGAUAGGGAUGGCCCGCGUCUGAUUAGCUUGUU